GACAGGAAAUAGUCACCACUGCCACGAGUUGACCAUGCUUUCACCAUGCGCUUUCACAAGGGAAGGACCUGCAUUCCACCACUCAUUUGAAGUCAUUCUAAUUCUCCAGUUGGAACGUUAUUCGAGAGGUAUGUAAAGAACAUUCUAUAGAUUGAUUCAGUACAUCGUUUGACAUGUUUCUACUGGCUGUUACGGAACUUUUGGACAUUUCGUCACAUUAUAGUGGACACGCUUUGUGACUUUGGAAUUGUUUACCAAAUGCGCUAACCAAAGUAGCUAAUUGGACAAAAAUAACGGACAUUAUUGAACAAAUCAAGCAUUUAUUGUGGACCUGGGAUUCCUAGGAUUGCAUUCUGAUGAAGUUCAUCAAAGGUGUAACGCUUGUCGUCUGGGGAAGGAGAGGAGGACCAAGGUGCAGCGUGAGGAUUGAAAAUGCACCAGGUCUUUGCUUUGAUCCUGAACAGGAGAAGCAAUAGAUAGCUCUGGAUUUGGAUACAAACUGACAUUUUAUGGGAUUCAUCA
ensembl:lncRNA